rnacentral:rRNA from 1 species
UACAGAGGUCCCGAGCGUUGUUCGGAUUCACUGGGCGUAAAGGGUGCGUAGGCGGUUAUAUAAGUCAGGGGUGAAAUAUCCCGGCUUAACCGGGAGGGUGGCAUUGAUACUGUAUGACUUGAGUAAAGUUGAGGUUGGCGGAAUUGACGGUGUAGCGGUGAAAUGCUUAGAUAUCGUCAAGAACACCGAUAGUGAAGACAGCUAACUAAGCUUUAACUGACGCUGAGGCACGAAAGUGUGGGGAGCAAACAGG